CAGAAAGUUCCCUUGUACUCUUCCCUGCUCACCCCCCAUCCUGAGCCCUACGCAGCCACUGCUCUUCUUCCUCUCACUGGAGCAUGUGGACUUCUGUGGAGGGCGUGGACUUGUCUGCCUGUUUUGCUCAGCUUUCUCUGCGUGGCUGAGCUGGGAGCAGCUCCCUGUCCUGCUCUGCUGCGCCGUCCCCCAUGGCAAGGGUCUGCCGCCAUGGUAAACACCUGUGAGUGCAAGGGCUGGGUCCCAAGGCAGACAUAGGCUUUACCGUUUUAAGGAACUGCCAGACAGAUUUCCAAGUGACUGUGCCUCUGCAUUCCUGCCAGCAGCGGAUGAGAGUUCUGGCGCUCUGUCCUCAUCCUUGCCAGCGGUGUUUAUGACACCUGUUCAGACUUCUAAAGUCCAAGAAGGGACCUCAGCAACACAGGCACGUCUCCUGGGCAGAGGCGUGCGUCAUGGAAAACUUGGAGGCUGGUGAUUGGGCCGUCUCUGCUGCAAAGUCAA
rnacentral:lncRNA from 1 species